UAAAUAUACGUAAGGAGAAGAAGAGAAAAUGAAGCAUAUGCUCAGCUAAGUAGGCACCUUUAAUUUUAAUUAGCUUGUAAAAGAAAAUGCAUAGUCUUCAGAAGCAACGAAGUUUAUUAUUUCAGUACCUGCGUUCAUCACCAAACAGCAACAAUAUUAUUCAUAAUUCAAAAAUGAUUCUUUCAUCUUCUUCUUUAUUAUUAGCCUCUAACUUUUCUUCCACUGCAGGCAAGGUCAUUCCUUGCAAAGUGCGUACCACCAAUAUUUCCACGCAUAUUAGGACACGAAGCAUCUGGAGCUUGGCGGGACAGGCUACCCACUUUGCCACCCACCGUGGAAAUUUACUCCUAAGCCCGCCAAAAUCCACGGAUUAAGCGGUGCGAGUUAGUGCGGGAUUUUUAAGUUUGACGGUUUCAUAUUUUCAGUCUCAUUUAUUUUUUAUUUUUUAUUUUUUGCAGUUUACGCGGGUCGUUUCAAUAGAUUUCGACAGGAUCGUAGUUGUCUUUCUCCUUUAGAAAAAUGAAUGCAACAGCAGAGGUAGUGAAGAACUGAAGAUGCAAAUAUGACGUGGACACAAGGCUACCCCUCUGAUUUGGUAAAGGAGCAGCACCACCAAGUGUAUUUUGGUAUGGCAGGCUUAUAGCUCACUCAACACGCUCUGACUCUAGCUUCACUUCUCACAAUGCUUGCAAUUUCCAGUGGGGGUUAAAUCUCCAUUGGUUACCUAAGCUUUCCAUUGAUGUUCUGGCUGCGAUCUCCUGAGCUAGUCUGUUUCCCUCUCUCGGCGUCCAAGCAAACCCUAUAUCCUGCAAAUCAUUCGAAACUGAAGCUGCUUUCCCCGUUUCUCUACAAAAGGACGCAUCUACAUUUAUUUUUAGCCAAUCUUUCGGUGGAGGUCUCCAGGUGUAUAAGGUAGGAAUGGAUUGGAGAAAAUGGAAGAAGAGCAUGCAAAGUGAAGGAGACAAGAAGAAACAAAGGAGAUGAGCUCAGAGACGUGUGCGUGCCCACAGCUACCCUAUCAGAGCGCAUAGAUUGCAUCGAGCGCGUCGCGCGUCCAGCCAAGCAUCGCGUAGUGUGCGUAUGCACCGCUAUUUGUGUGUACACACAGGCCUGGAUUUCUCGCGAAGUGUGCGGACGCAUGCAUCUGUGCGUCCACACAGGUGUCCGCACAUGACUUCAUUAAAAGAGCACGUGUCUCGUGAUUUGGGAGCUUUGGAGGCCCAUUUCUGAAGUCUUCUAGCUCAUAUUGGAGGGAAAAUGAAGGACAUAACAUAGCAUAUCAUUAGUAUAGUUUUAGGAGUAGUAGUAGG